rnacentral:lncRNA from 1 species
GGCCGCUCUAGUCUCCAGGCGGCGGUGCUCAGUGGUCGGUUACUGAGGGGCCUUGUGGCAACAAGGUGACAUAGGACAAACAGCACUCAGGUGAGCACCUGGAAAAGGCUGUUGAAGCACACAGGUUGGGACUUUCGAGAGUAGCGCACCCCACCUGAAAACCUGACAGCAGGUGUGUGGACAGUGAGGUCUGCCCUCUCUCUGUUCCACAGGUGGGAGAAUUAAACAUCACAAUGCCCAGUGCCUGCUAGAUGAGAACUGAUUCCAGCAAUGCCGGUCACGCUCUGCUUACGCCUACAUCUGCACAGUUCUAGGCACUAGAACUACUUUAUGAGCAUAAUUCCUUGGACCAUAAUCGUCACCUGAGGAAGCCGCGUGAGACACCAGUCUUAGGAUUCCAAAGUGAAGAGGAACGUGCCCUCCUCGAUGAACGCCUGUGGAAGCCUUUGAGCAGCCCUUUCAUGGCGGAAGAGAGGGCAACUCUGAGGUGAUGGAGCAGCGGCUAGGCAGAGGGCUGCUGAGGAAGCAGAGGGAGGAUCGCUUCAGCUCUCGGCAGGCUGGAGCCUCAGAGCAAACCUCAAGUAACUUUCUGUGGAUGCUGUGAGACUGACUGAAAAGCCCCCAAAGCAGACAACACCUACAGAACUCAUUGAACAUGGAGAAGUUGAGCUGGUACCCACAUAGAGACUUCACCCCUACAUUCUAAUGUCUUUGGUACAAGAAGGUAGUCUGCACACUCCAAAGGGAGAAACAUAAACACCAAUCAACCACAAACCCUUUGAUCUACAAUGGUGUGAAGCCUGCAGGAGAAGCUAGUGCAGUGGUGGCACAAAGCUUGUGGGAGUGACCAACCAAUAUCUGAUGUAACUUUAGGCCCACUCCACAAGAUGGAACCCUUACCUAAUACUACUUGGGUGAGUAAGAACUUGAGACUAGACAGCCAGCUUGGAUCUAGGGUAAACCAAAUAGAACUGAUCUGCUAAAAGAGCACAGUAAUAAAAUGGCUCCUAAGGACAUUGAGCUACACCCAUAGAUCAGUACCUUUCUCAGCCAUGAUCAGAGAGGCUUUUUCCUGUACAGAUGGGAACAGAUAUAGAAACUCAGCCAGACAUUAUACAGAGAAUAAGAGACCUUGGAACACUCCUUCCUGAAUUUAGGACAUCUCCAUCA